rnacentral:lncRNA from 1 species
GUGGUGGUGGAGGAGGUGAAGUUUUACCAAAUGGAGGUGGUGGUGGUGGCGGAGGUCCACUAGAUCCAAAUGGAGGUGGUGGUGGUGGUGGUGGAGGUCUAGUAGAUCCAAAUGGAGGUGGAGGAGGUGAAGUUUUACCAAAUGGAGGUGGUGGUGGUGGCGGAGGUCCAGCAGAUCCAAAUGGAGGUGGUGGUGGUGGCGGAGGUGGUGGAGGAGGGGCUCCAUGACUCGGUGGUUGAGGAAUUGAACCUACGUGACCAAAAGGAGGCGGUGGUGGAGGUGGAGGUGGUGGAGGGGCUCCAUGACUCGGUGGUGGAUGAAUUGAACCUACGUGACCAAACGGAGGUGGUGGAGGAGCUCCAUGACUCGGUGGCUGUGGAGGAGGAGGAACUGAACUUACGUGACCAAAAGGAGGAGCAGUUGGAGAUCCAUAACUUGGUGGCGGAGGUGGAGGGAUAGGGACUGACUGCGCUUUACUAAAAGGAGGAGGAGGAGGUGGUGGUGGUGGAGGUGGAGGAGCAGCAGAAAAACCGUUAAUAAGAGACGUCUUGGGUGAUGGCGAAGGUGCAAUACUCAUAUAAGGCAACAGGGGAGGAGGAGGAAUGUGACCUCCACUGGAUUUUGUUGUAUUUGAUGAACUAAAAGGAGGAGGUGGUGGUGGUGGCGGUGGAGGUGGUGGAGAAUUGUAAGAUGUAGAGCCUUCCUCAUGAGUUUCAAUAAUCGAAGCAUACCCAGGCUUCCACGGUGGUGGAGG